rnacentral:misc_RNA from 1 species
AACGCAUAUUGCGCUCUUUGGUAUUCCGAAGAGCAUGCUUGUUUGAGUAUCAGUAAACACCUCAAAGAAUUUUCUUUUUUGAAAUGACUUUGGACUUGAGCAAUCCCAACACCAGUCUUCACGGAUCGGCGGAGGGUUGCUUGAAAUGCAGGUGCAGCUGGACAUUCUCCUGAGCUAAAAGCAUAUCUAUUUAGUCCCGUCAAACGGAUUAUUACUUUUGCUGCAGCUAACAUAAAGGGAGUUUGACCGUUUUGGCUGACUGAUGCAGGAUUUCACAAGGAUCGGUAAAACGAUUUUUUGUAAAACUCGAUCUCAAAUCAAGUAAGACUACCCGCUGAACUUAA